CGGGUGAGUAAUGUCUGGGAAACUGCCUGAUGGAGGGGGAUAACUACUGGAAACGGUAGCUAAUACCGCAUAACGUCGCAAGACCAAAGAGGGGGACCUUGGGCCUCUUGCCAUCGGAUGUGCCCAGAUGGGAUUAGCUAGUAGGUGGGGUAAUGGCUCACCUAGGCGACGAUCCCUAGCUGGUCUGAGAGGAUGACCAGCCACACUGGAACUGAGACACGGUCCAG
rnacentral:rRNA from 1 species